AGAAUAUAAAUUUUAGACUAAUGUGCAGUAACUUCAUUUGGCUACACCAGUUUGGCUACAAAGUCUCAGAAAUACAAUUCGUGAAAACGUGUGCAGUUUAUUACAGGAAAGAAUGAAAUUUGCUUGUGCUCUUUUGUUGUUGACAGUGGUUGCUCAUACAGCCUAUUCUCAGUAUUAUUCUGAACAUUCUCAGAUAAGAAAAAGUGGAAAAACUAGUUGUACUUCGAUGGAUUGCAUUCCUGUUUGCCGACCUCCAGCAACAUGUCAAUUUUGCCCUGAUGCGGCUGGUGGUAGUUGUGUGUGUAUGAUGCCAGGUACGGUGUGCUAACAUGGGAGAUGAACGAAGCUUCAUACAAGAUCAAAACGGUUGCAUGGGGUAGUUUUAACACAACGGGGUUGUUUUACUUGUAAAACAAUAUGUUUGUCUAUCAAUAAAGUAUAAGCUUCAAAAAA